GAUGAACGCUAGCGGCAGGCUUAAUACAUGCAAGUCGUGGGGCAGCAGGGUGUAGCAAUACAUUGCUGGCGACCGGCAAACGGGUGCGGAACACGUACACAACCUUCCUACAAGUGGGGAAUAGCCCAGAGAAAUUUGGAUUAAUACCCCGUAACAUAUAGAAAAGGCAUCUUUUUUAUAUUAUAGCUUCGGCGCUUGUUGAUGGGUGUGCGGCUGAUUAGAUAGUUGGCGAGGUAACGGCUCACCAAGUCUACGAUCAGUAGCUGAUGUGAGAGCAUGAUCAGCCAAACGGGCACUGAGACACGGGCCCGACUCCUACGGGAGGCAGCAGUAAGGAAUAUUGGACAAUGGACGAAAGUCUGAUCCAGCCAUGCCGCGUGAAGGAUUAAGGUCCUCUGGAUUGUAAACUUCUUUUGUAUGGGACGAAAAAAGGGAAUUCUUUCUCACUUGACGGUACCAUGUGAAUAAGCACCGGCUAACUCCGUGCCAGCCGCCGCAGUAAAAC
rnacentral:rRNA from 1 species